UUUAUUGGAGAGUUUGAUCCUGGCUCAGGAUGAACGCUGGCGGCGUGCCUAAUACAUGCAAGUCGAGCGAAUGGAUUAAGAGCUUGCUCUUAUGAAGUUAGCGGCGGACGGGUGAGUAACACGUGGGUAACCUGCACAUAAGACUGGGAUAACUCCGGGAAACCGGGGCUAAUACUGGAUAAUAUUUUGGACCUCAUGGUUCAAAAUUGAAAGGCGGCUUCGGCUGUCACUUAUGGAUGGACCCGCGUCGCAUUAGCUAGUUGGUGAGGUAACGGCUCACCAAGGCAACGAUGCGUAGCCGACCUGAGAGGGUGAUCGGCCACACUGGGACUGAGACACGGCCCAGACUCCUACGGGAGGCAGCAGUAGGGAAUCUUCCGCAAUGGACGAAAGUCUGACGGAGCAACGCCGCGUGAGUGAUGAAGGCUUUCGGGUCGUAAAACUCUGUUGUUAGGGAAGAACAAGUGCUAGUUGAAUAAGCUGGCACCUUGACGGUACCUAACCAGAAAGCCACGGCUAACUACGUGCCAGCAGCCGCGGUAAUACGUAGGUGGCAAGCGUUAUCCGGAAUUAUUGGGCGUAAA
rnacentral:rRNA from 1 species